rnacentral:rRNA from 1 species
GACGUAGGGCGCGAGCGUUGUCCGGAAUUAUUGGGCGUAAAGCGUGCGUAGGCGGUUCGCUGUGUCCGAUGUGAAAGCCCCGGGCUUAACCUGGGAAUGGCAUUGGAAACUGGCGGGCUUGAGUGUGGCAGAGGGGGGUGGAAUUCCGCGUGUAGCAGUGAAAUGCGUAGAGAUGCGGAGGAACACCGAUGGCGAAGGCAGCCCCCUGGGUUAACACUGACGCUCAGGCACGAAAGCGUGGGGAGCAAACAGG